rnacentral:rRNA from 1 species
AACGAACGCUGGCGGCAGGCUUAACACAUGCAAGUCGAGCGCCCCGCAAGGGGAGCGGCAGACGGGUAAGUAACGCGUGGGAAUCUACCCAUCUCUACGGAAUAACGCAUGGAAACGUGUGCUAAUACCGUAUACGUCCUUCGGGAGAAAGAUUUAUCGGAGAUGGAUGAGCCCGCGUUGGAUUAGCUAGUUGGUGGGGUAAAGGCCUACCAAGGCGACGAUCCAUAGCUGGUCUGAGAGGAUGAUCAGCCACACUGGGACUGAGACACGGCCCAGACUCCUACGGGAGGCAGCAGUGGGGAAUAUUGGACAAGGGGCGCAAGCCUGAUCCAGCCAUGCCGCGUGAGUGAUGAAGGCCCUAGGGUUGUAAAGCUCUUUCACCGGUGAAGAUAAUGACGGUAACCGGAGAAGAAGCCCCGGCUAACUUCGUGCCAGCCGCCGCCGUAAUAC